rnacentral:rRNA from 1 species
CUACGGGCGGCACCAGUGGGGAAUAUUGCACAAUGGGCGCAAGCCUGAUGCAGCCAUGCCGCGUGUAUGAAGAAGGCCUUCGGGUUGUAAAGUACUUUCAGCGGGGAGGAAGGGAGUAAAGUUAAUACCUUUGCUCAUUGACGUUACCCGCAGAAGAAGCACCGGCUAACUCCGUGCCAGCAGCCGCGGUAAUACGGAGGGUGCAAGCGUUAAUCGGAAUUACUGGGCGUAAAGCGCACGCAGGCGGUUUGUUAAGUCAGAUGUGAAAGCCCCGGGCUCAACCUGGGAACUGCAUCUGAUACUGGCAAGCUUGAGUCUCGUAGAGGGGAGUAGAAUUCCAGGUGUAGCGGUGAAAUGCGUAGAGAUCUGGAGGAAUACCGGUGGCGAAGGCGGCCCCCUGGACGAAGACUGACGCUCAGGUGCGAAAGCGUGGGGAGCAAACAGGAUUAGAUACCCUAGUAGUC